GCCGCUUUGGCGUAACAGUAGCGUCGCCGGCCUGUACCCGGCGGGUGUCAGUGCAAAUCUGACAGGCGGCUCCA
rnacentral:tRNA from 1 species